AACAAUCAAAGUUACAGUGGAUUGUCUAACAACUCACUCCUUUUGGCUUUUGUUUUUGUCACACAAAAUAAAGAAUGUUGAAUUUUGGGAACAUUUAUAUUCACUUGUUAGUUAUCUUACCUCAAACCAUCAAACAACAAAUGUUAUGAAUUAGUCUGAUGAUUAGAAAUGAAUUAGUCAGAUUUAAAUUAAAAAUCUGGGGAAUUGAAGAUAAAAGAUGUCAGAGACUAUGCAAGUUUUU
rnacentral:lncRNA from 1 species